rnacentral:rRNA from 1 species
GGGGAAUUUUCCGCAAUGGGCGAAAGCCUGACGGAGCAAUACCGCGUGAGGGAAGACUGCCUAUGGGUUGUAAACCUCUUUUUUCAGGGAGGAACAAAAUGACGUGUACCUGAAGAAUAAGCAUCGGCUAACUCCGUGCCAGCAGCCGCGGAAAGACGGAGGAUGCAAGUGUUAUCCGGAAUCACUGGGCGUAAAGCGUCUGAAGGUGGUUUAAUAAGUCAACUGUUAAAUCUUGAGGCUCAACUUCAAAAUCGCAGUCGAAACUAUUAGACUAGAGUAUAGUAGAGGUAAAGGGAAUUUCCACUGGAGCGGUGAAAUGCGUAUAUAUUGGAAAGAACACCGAUGGCGAAAGCACUUUACUGGGCUAUUACUAACACUCAGACACAAAAGCUACGGUACCAAAUGGGAUUAUAUACCCCAGUAGUC